CGCAGAUCAUCUGGGGCGGACCUAUAAGAUGUCAAGUGUGUACGCCCCAACAACCCACAGAUGCGGCUCGACGCUCUCCAUCUGCAUGUCUCUUUAAUUAUCUAUAUAUAUAUGGAUAGACGACAACCUUCUAUCUAUGAAUUAUAUGUCAUGUCUCUUUAAUUAUCUCUAUAUCAAUGUCUACCUAUGUGAUAUAAGAUACCGUAGCAACGCACGUGCACCUAAUUAGUGAAUUUGGAAGUGUGACUUUAUAAAAACAAAUGAGUUAUAUGUUCAAGAUAAUGUUAGUAGUCAUACUAUUUAAAGUCCUUUUACUUUCUUAUUUGGAUGAGUCUUUUUUCACAUAUCUUCCUUCUUAAUGUACCAUUCAUGGUUCUAUUGAUAGCUCAAGGUCAUGAGAAUGUUGCCGCUGAGUACUACAAACAGCAGGUGGAGAUGUUAGAGGGUUUUAGUGAGAUGGACGCAUUUACAGAUCGUGCUUUCCUACCUGUAAUGUCCAAGUGACGACACCAAUAGAUAUCUGGCCACUUUAUUGACCUGCAGGAAGAACACGAAAAAGUUGUCAGGAGUGAAUCAUUAGCCAUAUGGCUGUCUAAUAUUGCAAAUAUGGUUCUCUUUGCUGCAAAAGUGUAUGCUUCAGUAAGGAGUGGUUCACUUGCUAUUAUCGCAUCAACUUUGGAUUCUCUUCUAGACUUGUUGUCAUGAUAUAUCUUGUGGUUUACUGCCUUUUCAAUGCAAACGCCAAAUCCCUAUAGAAACUCAAUUGGAAAAGCGUAUGCAGCCGCUGGUGAGUUCUUUUUUGCCAUAACCUGUACUUCCAAAAAUGAUGGUUGAUGUUGAUAUCUAGAUCUGUUGUCCAGAAUGUUCUGUACUCUUUUCUGCGAAAAUGAUUUACUUAUCUUUUACGUAAUCUGAAUUAUUGUCUCUGCAUUUUGAAUAGAAUGAGCAUUGCUUUCCAUGUUUCUUUCUGAGGCAAACAAUAAAGAUCUGAAUUGAUAGGAAAUCAAUAAACUUACUCAACACUGUGUGCUCACUACUCAGUAAUUCCUACUUACUGGAAUAUAAAUUACCUGUCUAUAAAUACUAAUUGUUGAGUUCACGAUUGAAGUCAUAGAACCAUGGACCCUUUUUAUCCAGUCACCUCUGUUUGAAUUUUCUUUAAGUUAAUGAUGAACUUGUUAUGACUUCCAAUCUGACAUUUGCUUUUGAGAUGCGUUGUCACUUGUUGGGGCAACUUCCAUGUGUCAAA